rnacentral:rRNA from 1 species
GGCAUUCGACUGCGGGUCUUUGGGCCAACCUCCCAUCCGUGUCUAUUGUACCCUGUUGCUUCGGCGGGCCCGCCGCUUGUCGGCCGCCGGGGGGGCGCCUCUGCCCCCCGGGCCCGUGCCCGCCGGAGACCCCAACACGAACACUGUCUGAAAGCGUGCAGUCUGAGUUGAUUGAAUGCAAUCAGUUAAAACUUUCAACAAUGGAUCUCUUGGUUCCGGCAUCGAUGAAGAACGCAGCGAAAUGCGAUAACUAAUGUGAAUUGCAGAAUUCAGUGAAUCAUCGAGUCUUUGAACGCACAUUGCGCCCCCUGGUAUUCCGGGGGGCAUGCCUGUCCGAGCGUCAUUGCUGCCCUCAAGCCCGGCUUGUGUGUUGGGUCGCCGUCCCCCUCUCCGGGGGGACGGGCCCGAAAGGCAGCGGCGGCACCGCGUCCGAUCCUCGAGCGUAUGGGGCUUUGUCACAUGCUCUGUAGGAUUGGCCGGCGCCUGCCGACGUUUUCCAACCAUUCUUCCAGGUGACCUCGGAUCAGGAGGAUGCCACCG